rnacentral:lncRNA from 1 species
GGAACAGGAGGAGAACCUCGUCCUAACAUAAAUAAAAUGAAAGUCCGAUUAUUUUAAGGCCAGAUUGGGGGAGAGGCCCGUAUAACGGCCCUUAGGUGCCCCCAUGGCCAUGCUAGGAACAGGAGGAGAACCUCGCCCUAGCAUGAGCAAAGUCGAAGGCCCGAUUCUUUUAGAUCGGAUGGGGGGAGAGGCCCUACAAUGCCCUAAUGUGCCCCCACAGCCAUGUUAGAAACAGGAGGAGAACCUCAUCCUAACAUGAGCAAAGUCAAAGGCCCGAUUCUUUUAGAUCGGAUGGGGGGAGAGGCCCUACAACGCCCUAAUGUGCCCCCACAGCCAUGUUAGGAAUAGGAGGAGAACCUCGUCCUGACAUGAGCAAAGUCGAAGGCCCGGUUCUUUUAGACCGGAUGGGGGAGAGGCCCUUGCAACGGCCCUUAUGUGCCCCCACAGCCCCAUUGAGAACAGGAGGAGAACCUCAUCCUAACCUGAGCUG